CUUUUGUCAAGAUCACUUCGUGUUAUUCAUAAAAAAAAAUAUUUUUGUAAAGUGAAAAUUAUGUUGAAAAAUUAAAAAAUCAGGAAUUCAUGGAUUCAAAUGCAAGUGCUGAGCCAAUACUCAUACAAAUCUCCGUGUUGCUAACAAUUUACGAGAAAAAACCCGACGAUAAUGUGCCCAGUUUAGACGCCUAAAUGAUGCCAAAUCGAACAAAAACGAUCAGACGUUGAAUGACCGAUAAGCAGAAAAUCCCGCUAACGAAACAACGAUUAAGAGUGACAACAGAAGAAAAAAUCAAUUGUUGACAGAAUUCCCUGCCUCCGUGACGAAGAUGGAUUGUCGUCGUCGUCGUUUGUUCGUUCGUACGUCACCGGAGCAAAAUUCAAAGAGGUGACUGGAUUAUUAUGGACAACUUGAAGCCGCUAAAAGGAGAAGAUCGGGGAAGAGAAUAGCCGUGAUUCAAGCCACUAAUUUUAAGUUGACUUUAAUUAAGCUGUACAUUGUUCAUUUGUGAAGUUUCUUCUAUUUACUGUUUUUUACGCCUUUAACAAUAAACAACUUAUCCGUGAU